rnacentral:misc_RNA from 1 species
GAUGAAGAACGUAGCAAAAUGCGAUAAGUAAUGUGAAUUGCAGAAUUCAGUGAAUCAUCGAAUCUUUGAACGCACCUUGCGCCCCUUGGUUAUUCCAAAGGGCAUGCCUGUUUGAGUAUCAUGAACACCUCAACUCUUGUGGUUUCCCACAAUGAGCUUGGACUGUGGAGGUUUUGUUGGCCCUGUGGUCAGCUCCUCUCAAAUGGAUCAGCUUACCGGUGUUUGGUGGCAUUACGGGUGUGAUAGCUAUCUACGCUCGUGGUCGUCUCCAAAUAACCUCCAGUGAUGGAGGUUCGCUGGAGCUUAUAAAUGUCUCUCCCCAGUGAAGACAGCCUUUGAACGUUCGAUCUCAAAUCAGGUAGGACUACCCGCUGAACUUAAGCAUAUCAAUAAGCGGAGGA